rnacentral:sRNA from 1 species
AAGUCUCAAUCUGUUGAGGACAUAUAUAAUGGAUAUGAGUAUCAAUUCCUCCGGCUGUUACAAUAUAUCCUUUACCUCCAUGUACUUCAGUAGAAGCUCCAAUAAUCAUGUUAGGUGAAACUCCAUCCAUGGUAUCAGGAUUUCCGGCCUUUCCUAUUCCUACAAUUUUACCAUCUUUAAUUCCUAUAUCAGCCUUUACAAUGCCCCAGUGAUCAAUAAUCACAGCUCCUGUAAUACAAAGAUCAAGAACUCCUUCAUUUCUUUUGGCUGUAACAUUUUGUCCCAUUCCAUCACGAACUG